UACGAAGGGGGGCUAGCGUUGCUCGGAAUCACUGGGCGUAAAGGGUGCGUAGGCGGGUCUUUAAGUCAGGGGUGAAAUCCUGGAGCUCAACUCCAGAACUGCCUUUGAUACUGAAGAUCUUGAGUUCGGGAGAGGUGAGUGGAACUGCGAGUGUAGAGGUGAAAUUCGUAGAUAUUCGCAAGAACACCAGUGGCGAAGGCGGCUCACUGGCCCGAUACUGACGCUGAUGCACGAAAGCGUGGGGAGCAAACAGG
rnacentral:rRNA from 1 species